GUAGAAGUCAUCACAUCUUUCAUUUUUAGACAAAUUUUUAAAAACUUAAUUGAAAAUAUAACAUGAUUUUAAGUAGCAAAAUACAAUUUUGAUCUUUUUUCUGUGAUAUUAAUGUAAUAUAGUAGAUAUCUGAAUAGGUUUUAUUGUAUAGUUACUCACAUACAAAAAUAACAAUUUUUUUGGCCAAAUUAAAAAUGUCUCCCUACUAGGUAGUUCAAUUAGAUAAUUUCUGGGGAAAAGAAAAUUUUAAGACUAUUGGUCUUUAACCAAGGAGUAAGUGUCAAGCAGUCUUACUGUAGAUGUCCUUAAAAUGAUGUUAUUAUAAAUUAGAUGGAUAAAGCUUUUAUAUGCUAGAUUUAAAUAGUUUCAGAACACAUUUUAAAAUCACCAGGCUGUUUUAGGUUGUGUGGCAUAUAAAAAAAAAGUUGUAUUUAUUUAUUCAUGUUGUUGUUUCUUUUAAAAAUGAUGGCAAAAUAGGGCUUGCCUGAAAAAUCAUAAAGCUGUUGGAGAUACUGCCCCAUUAGCAUGCUGUUCCCAUAACAAACACUAUUUUCAGAUUAUUUCUUUGCCUGUUUCGUUUAAACCAGCUAUUGAUUGGAGUAAAAUUUCCCCCUUACAGUGUACUUGAUUUAGCUUUUGGUGUAAAUGUGUGUGUAGUAUGAAAACUACUUAAUUUUUUUUUUCACUUAAACUUUGUGGAGACAAAAAAAAAAUCAUAUAUAUAUUUAUCUCAGAGCCAUUCAAUGUCAAAUAGCAAGAAAGCUGGGCCAGAUUUUUCAGCUUGUCCUGCAUAGUCAUUUGUCAGCCUGAGUUGACAGUCCUGGUUCUUUUGUCCCCACUAUGAGUACCAAAGCCUUCCACUGUGGUUGGAUUCUUCCUAAGUCCAGGUUUAACAAGGAAAGGAAACCACAACUAAGUGUUAGUGGCCAAUUAAGAAAAAAAUAAACUAAAU
rnacentral:lncRNA from 1 species